UACAGAGGGUGCAAGCGUUAAUCGGAAUUACUGGGCGUAAAGGGCGCGUAGGCGGCCUUCUAAGUCAGACGUGAAAUCCCCCGGCUUAACCUGGGAACUGCGUCUGAUACUGGGAGGCUAGAGUAUGGGAGAGGGAUGUAGAAUUCCAGGUGUAGCGGUGAAAUGCGUAGAUAUCUGGAGGAAUACCGGUGGCGAAGGCGGCAUCCUGGACCAUUACUGACGCUGAGGCGCGAAAGCUAGGGGAGCAAACGGG
rnacentral:rRNA from 1 species